rnacentral:rRNA from 1 species
UACAGAGGGUGCAAGCGUUAAUCGGAAUUACUGGGCGUAAAGCGUGCGUAGACGGUUAUGUAAGUCAGAUGUGAAAGCCCAGGGCUCAACCUUGGAAUUGCAUUUGAGACUGCAUAGCUAGGGUGCGGAAGAGGGAAGCGGAAUUUCCGGUGUAGCGGUGAAAUGCGUAGAUAUCGGGAGGAACACCAGUGGCGAAGGCGGGCAUCUGGGCCAACACUGACGCUGAGGCGCGAAAGCUAGGGGAGCAAACAGG